rnacentral:lncRNA from 1 species
CGCGCAGCGACCAGCUCCGGCCGCCCGAGCUCCUCCCUCCCCAAACUUCGCAGGUUACGUCAGCGGCGGACGGCAAGGCGGGGAGAGGGGCAGCCCGCUCGCGGCCCUCCCGCCUGGCUCUCGCCUCGGCCUGCGGCCGGGAUCCUCCGCCCGGGUCGCGCAGCGGAGGCCGAGGGCUGGGACGGGCGGCUGGGAAGUGGGAAAGGGAGCUCCUUUUGUCUUCUCUUCCCAUCCCCCAGGUUUGGGAAAGUUUUCCUUUUGGGAAAGCCCCUCUCUUCAGCCUGCUGGCGGGUGUCGGAUUGGUUAGCGACCACCGGCCCCCGCCUCCCCCAACAGGAUUCUCCUUUGGGCCACAGGUCUUCCGGAAGUUGCCAAACCCCGGUAGCGGCAGCGUCCGGCUGGGGGCUUUAUUAGGGGGCACCGGGGUCUGCUUUCCGACUCCCUUCCGACUCCGCGCCUGCGCAGGAAGCGAUUUGGGGAGUGUUGUGAAUUCCGAGGGCUCCACACUUAAGAGGUUGUACACUCACCUGUCUACCUGGACUCCAAUUUCCAUAUUUCCAGCCACUUGAGGACUGAGAGGUGGAUGAUAAACCCUGUCAUAGUGGAGCAAGUUCAGGUGUUUAACCGCUGUUAUGGGGGAUCUGCCUUUUCUCCCUCUUCUUUCUUACUUCCAUAAGUAUGUAUGUGCAGAGAUUGAAAAAUAACCUUGAGAGAGUCCAUCCAUCUAACUCCAGUUCAUUGGAAAUUUCUGCUUCUUUGAGACUGAGGUUAUAUUCCACUUCUUCUGACUACACCACCACCAUCAAUCUCCUUCUCUGAACUCUUGGAUCAUUACUUCAACCUGAAACAACUCAUCAGGCAGAAUAGUUGCCUACUGCCCCAACCCCACCAAAUGUUCCAGCACCUCUGAUAUUACCUCACAUGGCAAGAGGGCUUUGAAGAUGUGAUUGAGUCAAGGAUCUUGAAUGGGGAGAUUAUCCUGAAUUAUUCAGCUGGACCCAGUGUAAUCACAAAGGUUUUUCAAAGAUGGAAGAGAGGCAGAAGAGCCAGAAAAGGAUAUGUGACAAUGGAGUCAGUGUCAGAGUUGGAGUGACGUGAUGUGAGAAGGAUUCAACCUGCUGUUUCUGGCUUUGAGGAUGAAAGAAGGGGCCAUGAGCCAAGCAAUACAGGUGGCUUCUUUCAAGAAGUUGGAAAAGUGGUAAUAUUUUAUGUUAUUUUGGUUUGAUUUUUGUUUGUGGCAUAUGGCUCUGCUGUCCUGUGACUCUAAGUAGAAGAGAAAAUAGUGCCAAUAAUUCUUCAUGGAGAUGCACCUCUCUCAAGUCUUGAACAAUGUUUGAGAUUUCCCCAGGCCACCAUCACUGGAUUUGGCUAUUUGACUUGCUGUAGUCAAUGGAAUGUGAGUGAAAAGUGACUCUGUACCAGUGGGGAGGCAAAGCCUUAAAAGACCCAGCAAAUUUCUUCCAGCCCUUUUGUGCUUCUGCCAAAAGAAUACUGUGAGCAAUCAGUGCCCUUAAGCCUGGGCCUCAGAACGAGAGAUAUGGAGCAAACCUGAACCUGAACAGCAGCCUACAAUCAAGCCAGGAUGACCCUGCAAAGCCCAGCCAACGAUAGCAAAGCCACAGCAGACUUGUAGACCAAUGAGCAUGAAAUAAAUUGCAUUGAAAGCUACUGAGAUUGGAGGAAUAAUUUUUAUGCAGGAUUACUGCAGUGAACCUGAUUGAUACAGGAGCUACUGCAAUAAUCCAGGGAAAGAGGGGAUGAUGAGCUGAAGUAAACUAGGAUGGUUGCGAUCGGAUUAGAGUCUGUAUAUACAUUUGAGGACAAGAUUUGAAAGAAUUUGCUGAUGGUUUAGCUAUUAAGUGUGAAAGAGAAAUUUUGAAAUUUUGGUCCAAACAAUGGGAAUGAUUGAGUUGCCAUUUACUGACACGGGGAACAUGAAAGAAGGGGCAGGUUUACUUGAUUCAGGGCAUGCAGAGGAGAGCAGAGUUAAACUUUAUAUAUGUUAAGUUUCAUAUGCGUCUUAUAUUUGGAAGUAGAGGUAUCUUCCUAUAUUUGUAAAAAGAGGUAUCCAGCAAGUAAUUUGACAUUUAAAAAAGAUUUCUGGAGAUCAUUUCUGCUCUGGCUAUAAUGGGAUGACAGAGACUACAUUUACUGUGUACCUCAAACAAAUAGAAAAUUGGACAAAACAAUGUUUUCAGGCAUAAUAAACAAAUUGAACCUUAUUAUUACCUCAGCUUGGCUUGCCACCUAGAGGCAGUUUUCGAGCUUUAAUAGAUGGAGGGUUUAUUAGUCUGUUUUCACGCUGCUAUAAAGAAUGACCUGAAACUGGGUAAUUUAAAAAGGAAAGAGGUUUAAUUGACUCACAGUUCCUCAUGGCUGGGGAGGCCUCAGGAAACUUACAAUCAUGGUGGAAGGUGAAGGGGAAGCAAGGCAUGUCUUUAAGAGGUGGCAGGAGAGAGAGAGAGACAGAGAGAGAGAGAGAGAGACAGAGAGAGCAAAAGUGCAGGGGAAACUGCCGCUUUUAAACCGUCAGAUCUCAUGAGAACUCCCUCACUAUCACAAGAACAGCAUAGGGAAAACUGCCCACAUGAUCCAGUCACCUCCCACCAAGUCCCUUUCUUGACACAUGGGGGAUUACAAUUUGAGAUAAGAUUUAGGUGGGGACACAGAGCCAAACCAUAUCAGAGGGAAACCUCGAACAGAUCCUGGCAGUCUACCUUAGUGGAGGGAUUAGAAAUUAGAGUUCAUGGAGACUAAAGUGGAUAGAGAUUUUGGGUGGGGGGGGGGGGUUGGUGAAGAGAGAGAGAGAGAGAUAAGAGAGAAUAUACCCAGAGAUCACAAAGGGGUCCCUUGAGCCUUGGUAUGUGCAUGUGAGAGAGAAAGAUACCCCUGGCAGGGGUAAGAACUGCUGGGAGGCAAUAAGCCAAAUAAUUCCUGAAGCUCACUUAAGGCUGGGAAGAGUUUGUGUUCCCAUCAGUUAGAGUGGAAAGACCUUAUUACACUGUAUUAUAUAGGGGCAUUGAAUAGAAUCCUCAGAAGAAUACCUCAGUAGUGAAGUUAGUAGUGAGGCUAAAUUAGCCCUGGACUAAAAUAUACUCUGGAUUUCCCUAACAAGCCUCAAAAGAGGUAGACUGCUACUAAGUAACAUAACUGCGUGCUAGAACAAAGCCUAAGACUACUAGAAGGGUUACAACAAAAUCUACCACCCUAUUAAGUGAGGUUUCAAUGUCGCAAAGCAAUAAAACAUUUACCAGACAGUAGAAAGAAUAAGAAACCUAACCCAUAAUCAGAAGAAAAAUGUCAAUAAAUAGAAACAGCACCAGAAAUGACAGAGGUGAUGUAAUGACUAAAAUUGUCUAUUGUAAAUAUGCUUCACAUCAUGAGUAAGGUAUAGGGAAGCAUGAGCAUGAUGAAGAGAGAUAUAGAUAAUAGAAGAAGACAAAUCAAAGUUAUAGAGAUGAAAAAUACAAUAGAUUCUUCAUUUCAUCUCUGAAAUGAAUAGAUUGAACGGGAUCAACAGCUGAUUAGAUACUGCAGAAGAAAAGAUGAGUGAAAUUGAAGGAGCAAUAGAAUCUAUCAAAAAUGAAGCUCAGGGAGAAAAAUGACUAAUAGAAAAAUGAACAGAGCAUCAGUGACCUCAGGAACAAAGUCAGGAGAUCUAAUAUAAUUGGAACCACUGAAGCAAGGUGGAGGAGUGUAAAAAGAGAAGACAUAAUGGCCAAAUGUUUGUCCAACUGUCAUGAAAAGUAUAAACUCAUAGAUCCUAGAAACUCAAAGAAUCCUAAGACGGAAAAGCAUCCUAAGAAAAUCACACCAAUACACAUUGUAAUUGAAUUUUAGAAAACCAGUUUUGAUAAAGAGAAAAAUCAUAAUAGCAGCCAGAGGAAAAAAAAAAGGCACUGUCUCAACAGAAACUUCUCAUCAGAAACUACACAAACUGGAUGACAGUCCUCCAAGUGUUGAAAGAAAAAAAACCUGUCAAUCUAGAAUUCUAUGUCCAGGUUUUUGAUUUUUUAAAAAUAAAGGUGAAUAAACAAUUCUCCAGACAAACAAAAGAGGUAAAAUUCAUUGUCAGCAAACUAAAUAUAAGAAAUAUUAAGGGAAGUUAUUCAGGCAGAAGGAAAAUGAUGCCAGAUGGAAACUUGUGUAUUCACAUAGGAAUAAAAAAUGCCAGAAAUCAUAAAUAUAUGGAUACAUGAAAAAUACUUAAUUUUCUUAGUUUUUAAGUCUCUUUAACAGAUAAUUGACUGCUUAAAGCAAAAUAGAAAUAAUGUACUGUUGGCUUUAUAACAUAUAUAGAAGUAAGGUAUAUGAUAAGGACACUGUAACUUACCAUAGUUGUGUUAAGCAGCUUCUAAGAUGCUCCCCAACAGUCUCUGCAUUCUACUGUUCAACUCUAAUAUAGUCUCAUCCUGCAUGGCAUAGGGCCAAACUCUGUAAAGAAUAGAAUAUGGAGAACUGACAAUGUAUGGAUUUUAAG